CCCGUUUUUUCUCCUUCUU
rnacentral:sRNA from 1 species